UUAAAAGCGAAGAAAAGGACAUGAGUCAUUUUUACUGGUUAUCAGAGAGGGAAGUUACGCUGAAAUCUUCCUAGCGCAGAAAAAUGUCUUACCACCUUUGAGCUGUAUUGGGGAAAUCAUAGUAUCCAAUAUCGUCUACGCCACGUUACGGCACCAGAGCCAUAAAGCGAAUACGCGUUAUGGGAAUUUGGGUGGAACCACGGAUCACACAUUCGUCCCUUUA
rnacentral:ncRNA from 1 species